UGGGGAAUUUUGGACAAUGGGCGCAAGCCUGAUCCAGCCAUUCCGCGUGCGUGAAGAAGGCCUUUUGGUUGUAAACUGCUUUUGUACAGAACGAAGCUACGUUUUCUAAUACUCAGCGAUAAUGAAGGUUCCUCACAAAUAAACCCCGGCUAACUUCUGGGCCACCGCCCCGGGAAUACCUAAGGGGGCGACGGUUAUCCGAAUUUCUGGGCGUAAAGGGGGGGCAAGGGGGGUUUUUAAACCGAAGGGAAAUCCCCGGACUCUACCUGAGAACUGGCUUUGUGACUGGGUCACUUGAAUGAGGGAAAAGGAGGUGGAAUUCCCCGGGGAACAGUGGAAUGGCUAAAAGAUCUGAGGAACACCCAUGGGGAAAGGCAUCCCCUGGGCCUGCACUGGACCUCAUGCACGAAAGCGUGGGGAGCAAAAAGGAUUAAAUACCCUGGUAGUCCACAUGCCUAUACGAUGUGUCCUGGUUGUUGGGUCUUCUUUGACUCUUUAACGAAGCUAAUGACGGAAUUUGACCACCUGCUGGGUACGACCGCCGGGUUAA
rnacentral:rRNA from 1 species